GUGCUCAUUAUGGCAGCACACAUACUAAAAUUGAAACGAUUCAGAGAAGAUUAGCAUGGCCUCUGCACAAGGAUGACACAGAAAAAUUACGCUAGGGGACCAUAU